rnacentral:lncRNA from 10 species
ACUUGAGGCCAAGAGUUCCAGACCAGGCUGGCCAACAGCUCCCCACAGACAGAAGCAUCAGCUCAUAGGUAGCACUAGCUCACUCCAUCCUAGCCCCCGGGGAGGCCCAUGUCAGCGUAAGGCCCAUUUCCCAGCCCCAGGAAAUGGAGAAACUCUGUCACUCAGGCUGGAGUACAGCGGCUCAAUCUCGGCUCACUGCAACCUCUGCCUCCCAGGUUCAAGUGAUUCUCGUGCCUCAGCCUCCUGAGUAGAUGGGAUUAUAGGCGCCCACCACCAUGCCCGGCUAAUUUUUUGUAUUUAGGAUUCUGAUCACCUACUCCUGUUUGGGCUAAAUCCUAAGUAGCAGCAGAUGGGGCCCUCUGGCUGAAGGCUGCCCCAGUCUCCAGCUGCAGAAUGCGGGACAGAGAUAAAGUUGGUUGAGUGUGGUGGCUCAUGUGUAAUCUCAGCAUUUUGGGAGGCCGAGGCAGGAGGAUCUCUUGAGCUCAGGAGUUCAAGACCACCCUGGGCAAUGUGGCAAAACCCCAUCUCUACAAAAAAUACAAAAAUUAACCAGGGCCUGGGUGACAGAGUAAGGCUCCGUCUCUAAAUAAAUAAAUAAAUGAAUAAAUGUUUAAUUCUGGCUCUUACUCAGAGCUUCACAGACCAGUAACAUUUCCAAAGAAACUCUGGGGAACCUGCAAAGGACUGAAAGUUGUUAUUCCUGUCAUGUGCUGCCAUAUGGAUGAACUUUGAUGACUUUAUGCUAAAUGAAACAAACCAGUCACAGAAGGACAAAUAAUUUUGUCUGGGAGAUUCUUCAAGGGCACAUAAAACAUAUCUGCCUUUGCUCACUGUGAUGUCUCCGACGCAAAGCAGAGAGCCCGCCAGCGUAGCCACUCAGAGCUGAGUGGUGGUGGAAUGAGUGAAAAGGCUGCAGCUGGAAGGGCUGGGAGGCGGGGGGCAGAGUGGGGGCAGCCAAGGGUUUUGGGGAUCACACAGGCUUGGGAAGAAAAGUCAGCUCAGACCCACUGGCUAUGUGACCUGGCCCUGCAGGUCCAACUGUCAAUGGGUCUAACCCCGCCCACCUCAAUGAUCUGUGAGAGCUGAGCGGGGGAGACACUGUUCAGAAAAGACUGGGUCCCUGAAACUGUUGUUGUCGUUUAAUCCAGCCAUUUUUUUUAAGUUUGUUUAAGAGACAGGGGUCUCCCUAUAUUUCCCAGGCUA